GACGAACCGUGCGAACGUUGUUCGGAAUCACUGGGCUUAAAGGGCGCGUAGGCGGCUUGUCAAGUCAGGGGUGAAAUCUUUCGGCUCAACCGGAAAAGUGCCCUUGAUACUGAUGAGCUCGAGGGAGGUAGGGCAUGUGGAACUUCUGGUGGAGCGGUGAAAUGCGCAGAUAUCGGGAAGAACACCCGUGGCGAAGGCGGCUCUCUGGGACGGUACUGACGCUGAGACGCGAAAGCGUGGGAGCGAACAGG
rnacentral:rRNA from 1 species